CCGCCCGCCGGGGAACUGCACCUUCUCGCGCCCCGACGCAGCCGCCUCCGCGCGCGCACGCAACGCACGCGCUCCAGCGCCUACGGUCAAAGCGCCGCGCAACCAGUUAUUCCGCCCCCGGCUCCGCACCCGCGUCUCGGACGUUCCCGCAGCCAACGUUUAGGGCACCAGGCGCUGUGCUAGGCGCCGCGGUUAUAAAGAUAAUCGGUUUUGUUGAGCCCAGGAAUGUUCGGGUACACCCAUCAUGAGUACACCCACUCUUCUAGCCUAACAAAAAUUCCCUUAGGGCCCAAGGAAUCAUGGUACCUGCACCCCAAGAAAGCCUCUGGGUCUUUGAGUCAGCAAAGUGGCGGAGGAAGGACUGGCCCUAAAACAACCUCACUGCUUACACACACCACACCACACACACACACACGCCAGAUAGCCAGCAGAGACCUCCAACCACACACACACACACACACACACACACACACGCCAGAUAGCCAGCACAGACCUCCAGACCCCGCCCCGCCCCCCUCCCCCGGCCCCCCUCCGCCCCCACGCGCCAAAUAGCCAGCAGAGACCUCCAGGAUAUGGCUGUUAAUCUGUUUUCUCUAAUCAAACACUUAAUCAUCCAGUCUCCUCUCUGCGUUAUGGAUUCAUGAAUGUGAAGUGAGGAGAGUUGCUCAGUCAAGGUUUUUCACGUACUGCACAUCCAAGCUAGGUAAUGUCUCUGCAACUGCUGCUUCCUGAUGAUUAUAUUCAUCUGAAAUGACUAAGCUUGGUAAAUUAGGCUAAGUCAAGUCUGUGGAGCAGUCAAGGGACGAAUGAAGAAAAGAAUAAUGUAAUGGAGGCUACACCAGAGACAUGGGAAUCUAUCAGCAUGUGGCAAGGAAGGAAGAACAUAGCUAUGUCUUCUAUAUAAAGAGUUGCCUGCAUUCUUCUCAGAAAAAAAAAGACAAUGGAAAGGCAAUGAGUCAUGAGUCUUGGGUUCUAAGCCUGGUUCUACCAUUUGCUAGCUGUAUGAUAAGAAGCAUGUUUGUUAAACCUCUGAGCCUCAGCUUAUAUAUAUACGAAACAGGAAAAAUAGUAACAUAGCCUGCCAUCUUCACAGAUUUGUGAAAAGGUCUUUUAAAUAUCCAAAAAGCUUAGUAUGUAUAAGAAAGAUUAAAUUGGCUGGGCGCGGUGGCUCACGCCUGUAAUCCCAGCACUUUGGGAGGCCGAGGCGGGCGGAUCACAAGG
rnacentral:lncRNA from 1 species